rnacentral:lncRNA from 1 species
GAGGCUUCCUUGGCAGCUCCAUGGGGACUCUCAUUCCUUCGUAGCCCAGGGUUUCAAGCCACCACAUUGUGCCUAAAUCCCGUGUGAAGAGACAUCAAGGGCAGGAGAUGGUGUUUUUCCUACCAAGUGUUGGCACUGAACUCCUGCCCAGGGUGCGAGGGGACUUGGAAAGCAUCUUGUUUGGCAUCAGAGUAUUUCACCAUUGCAGCAUCGAGGGCCUCUGCCUGCCAACUUUGGGGGCUCUAGACGUUCAUGGCAAGCGCCUUCUGCCAGGUAGGAGAGGCAGAGACACAUUUCUUGUACUUCUGGGAGACCUUGAUGAUUUGGGGCUCCCAGUAAAACUUUCUUUAAACUGUAGGAAACACAGCCAUAGCUGUAUUCCUCUAAAGCAGAGAAAUCUUUUAGUUUUGAAAACGGCUGCAUGCACCUACAGGCUGUGUCCACGUUGUGGCGAUAAAGAACCAUCCUUCGGGAAUGAUUCAAGACUUCUCCACCGGGUGGUGAUAAAGNGCUCUGCUUGGCCCAAAAGUGUCUCAGCUGGUUACUCUGCCGCAUUGGANGCCCUGGGGCAGUUCUCAUUUCCUCUGAGCGAAAAAGUCCAAAAUCUGCUGGGGGGCACCCAGGAUUGUGAGGAAGGUCUUGGAGUACGUGGCAGCUUUCCUGAUUUUACAAGAAUUCUUCUUGUAAAACUAAUAACAAAGGUUCAGAAAAGGGCAAUCAGAAUGAUCAAACUGCUGGAACACCUUCCUUAUGAAAUCAGGCUGCAACAUCUUGGCCUCUUCAGCCUUGGAAAAUGGCAUUUAAGAAAAACUCCCUAGACAAAUAAGAGUAGGGCACUUUCCACACACACACUCUUAACAUGGUAUAGCAAAGUAUCUGUGGGCCUCCAUGUUGCUCAUUAGUGUGCAAUGAGGGGACCUGUACUCCUCCUAGUACAUUCUNUACAUCCAGGUUGAUGUGUAGAUCAGGAAAGGGCACCCAAAAUAGUGCCCUAAUUUAGUCUUCCAGUAUGCCUCAAUGUUCAGGUCUACCAAAGUACUAGGC